GGCGCCAUAGCACAGUUGGUUAGCGCACCUGCCUCCAACCCAGAAGUAAUGGGUUCAAGGCUCGUUGUUGCUA
rfam:Ciona intestinalis ciona0131, whole genome shotgun sequence.